rnacentral:lncRNA from 12 species
AGAAGUUCCUGCAGGAAUGUCAGCUCCCUGAGGUCUUUUAGCCUCUGACCCUUAGGUGCAACAGGUGCAAUGAACUCUUUUUGGAAAAUUAGAUGCACCUUUGAAUCUCUAUAAUGAAUUCCAAACUAACCAAUCAGAAAACAAAGUGCAGCUUGAGAAGCAGGGGACAAGGGAAUGGGAAUGUCUCCUCAAGGAUUUUCUCCCUAGGCCCAAAGUAUUUACAUUCAGAUUUGCAUAUGAUUUGCAUAUAAUUUGUGUCUGGCUACAAAGCCUGUCUGUUGUUCAGAUAAUGUUUAAGCUAAAGUUAAUUUCUAGAAUGUCUUUCUCUCCCCAUCUCUCCUUACCCCAUCUACUCAGAUGCAUGGCAGAAAUGUCAGGAUGUUCAGGGGGUCACAUGACACAUUCUGUGUCAACAAUGCUUUGCGUUAUUAUGAGUUUUACUGUCAUAAAACGUCUUGGAUGGCAACAGAAACCAGGACAGGGCUGUCCAGAGGGUUAGAAGCAGUAAGUAGGGGAGUGAACUCGGCUGAACUGGAAAGAGGAGAGUUAGCCAGAAAAACCAAAAGAAGGAGAAAAGCCUGGGAAAAGUAAUUAAUGAUAGGAGCUAGCACUUAAUCAAAAAUGCUCAUGAUGUGCCAGGCUUUGUUUUCAGUGCUUUCCAUGUAUUACGUGUUCAUCAUCACAACAGCCCUACUAGGUGAGUACGCUUGUUACCUGGAUUUUAUAGAUGAAUAAAGUGAGACCCACGAAGGGUGAGUAAUUUGCCUGAGAUCACGAAGUGAAGACAGGUCGUCACAACUUGGCUUGGUCCUCAGACUCCCAAACUAUGGAUCAGCUGGUCCACUAGGCCGUGCAUAGAAGAAGUAGCCAUAGUUCUGGAAGUCAGGGUGAGGCCAGCUCUUAACUUUAGGGAGAAAUCGUCAGGCCAGGGGAGGGCUCGGAGGAAGACCUGUCUGGAUGUCCAGGUGGGGCGGGAGGUGGAAGAGGGUUGCCGAGCCCACGUCUGCGGCACGAAUGUGCUGUAACUCUGCUCUUACUCUCAGACUUGGUCCAAAGUCACCCAUGUUUACUCUUUCUUUUGACAGAGAACUCCCUCCGGGGCAAGACUUGGUCUCAGCUUGUGGCAGUGCGAGCAGAUGUGGACAAGUGGGAAACACUUGGGCAGUGGCCUGGAGUAAGAGGAACCCAGGUGACCUCUUAGACUGUUGCAUGAUUGAUUGUCGUGAUGGCCCAUCCCCCAUGCCUCCGCUGCUGUCCCCCACCAUUGCCACCAUGGGAGUGGCAGGCCUGCUGGGACUGGACAGCUCAUGAUCAGAUAGUGCCCUUUUUUGUCACACCGUGUGUAAUAGGUCAGUGGAGACGCCCAACCCAUUUUACUGUGGUAGCUGCCAGUUCUAGAAGGCUUAUCUACAACGCGUCUCAUGGUAUGAAACGUUCUCUUUCCCAGAACAAGAUUUGAUUGCCAGGGUGGAAAUUACUGCAUCUAAAAGCAAUGCUGAGCUUCUUAGCGUUGCCCCACAAUGUCCCUGAGAAGGAGAGAGAAGGUCAAGUCAUGACCCACGCAACUGGCUUGGAGAAUGAGGCUGGAUGCUCUCCGGCAGUGUUUCUUACGUUUUGUAAAACUCAGGUUCGGUCUUGAGAAAUAGAAGUAUUUGAACUCCUACACUGUCAUCUCAUAUUCCAAAAUCGAUAUUUUCACCAGGGGGCUGAAGCAGACAGAUGUUAAUGUAAAUAAAUUUUUUUGUGAGUCCUUUACUAGAGGGUGU